CAGCCUCCUCGCCAGGGAACCUGGGUAGAUGCCUGGACCCAGAUGAGAGACCCAGGCCAGGCCAAGCCCUCAGGGAGCAGAGGGAGUUUGGGGAAGUGCUUGUGGAAGGGAAAUAGGAUUUGGGGACUAUGAUUCCGGGGUCAGUGGGAGACACCAGAGAGGACUCUGACAAGAGCUGGAGGGCUGGACAGAGUUCGUCAGGCUUCCGGCUCAUGCACACUUAUUUUCUUCCUCUUUCUGUUAAUGACAAAAUAAAACAUACUAAUGGUAAACAUUUCAAACAGCAGUGAAUAAAAAGACAAAAAUGGAAGCUCCCCUCCCUCACAAUUUCCCCGUGGCCGGUGUGAAUAGUUUAGUGUUUAUCCUUCCAGACGUUUACCUAUGAACCUACAAACAAGCAAGAAAACUGAAACUCGGAGAAAGAAAAUGACUGACUCAAGAUCACAUGACCCAGGUUGGGAAUGCCGUGUCCCAGAGAGGAAGGAGAGCUCAAGGAAGAAUUGCUAGAGGGGCACCUUGAAGAGGAAAUGGAACAACUGAAUUCCACCUAUAUGUCCACUAUUAGAGGAAUUAUGUGCAUCCAUGCAACAAAAUACUGUGCAGCCAGGAAAAAGCAAGGGGUACAUUUACUGAGUGACUCCUACGUGCUAAGCCUCUUGACAAUUAUCUCAUUUAAUCUUCCUCAAAAUCUU